GAUGAACGCUGGCGGCGUGCCUAAUACAUGCAAGUCGAGCGAACAGACGAGGAGCUUGCUCCUCUGACGUUAGCGGCGGACGGGUGAGUAACACGUGGAUAACCUACCUAUAAGACUGGGAUAACUUCGGGAAACCGGAGCUAAUACCGGAUAAUAUAUUUAACCGCAUGGUUCAAUAGUGAAAGACGGUUUUGCUGUCACUUAUAGAUGGAUCCGCGCCGCAUUAGCUAGUUGGUAAGGUAACGGCUUACCAAGGCAACGAUGCGUAGCCGACCUGAGAGGGUGAUCGGCCACACUGGAACUGAGACACGGUCCAGGCUCCUACGGGAGGCAGCAGUAGGGAAUCUUCCGCAAUGGGCGAAAGCCUGACGGAGCAACGCCGCGUGAGUGAUGAAGGUCUUCGGAUCGUAAAACUCUGUUAUUAGGGAAGAACAAAUGUGUAAGUAACUAUGCACGUCUUGACGGUACCUAAUCAGAAAGCCACGGCUAACUACGUG
rnacentral:rRNA from 1 species